UUAACACAUGCAGUCGAGCGGUAAGGCCCUUCGGGGUACACGAGCGGCGAACGGGUGAGUAACACGUGAGCAACCUGCCCCUGACUCCGGGAUAAGCGGUGGAAACGCCGUCUAAUACCGGAUACGACCCUUCUCCUCAUGGUGGAGGGUGGAAAGUUCUUCGGUCGGGGAUGGGCUCGCGGCCUAUCAGCUUGUUGGUGGGGUAACGGCCUACCAAGGCGAUUACGGGUAGCCGGCCUGAGAGGGCGACCGGCCACACUGGGACUGAGACACGGCCCAGACUCCUGCGGGAGGCAGCAGUGGGGAAUAUUGCGCAAUGGGCGAAAGCCUGACGCAGCGACGCCGCGUGGGGGAUGACGGCCUUCGGGUUGUAAACCUCUUUUACCACCAACGCAGGCUCCGGGUUCUCUCGGGGUUGACGGUAGGUGGGGAAUAAGGACCGGCUAACUACGUGCCAGCAGCCGCGGUAAUACGUAGGGUCCGAGCGUUGUCCGGAAUUAUUGGGCGUAAAGAGCUCGUAGGCGGCGUGUCGCGUCUGCUGUGAAAGACCGGGGCUUAACUCCGGUUCUGCAGUGGAUACGGGCAUGCUAGAGGUAGGUAGGGGAGACUGGAAUUCCUGGUGUAGCGGUGAAAUGCGCAGAUAUCAGGAGGAACACCGGUGGCGAAGGCGGGUCUCUGGGCCUUACCUGACGCUGAGGAGCGAAAGCAUGGGGAGCGAACAGGAUUAGAUACCCUGGUAGUCCAUGCCGUAAACGUUGGGCGCUAGGUGUGGGGACUUUCCACGGUUUCCGCGCCGUAGCUAACGCAUUAAGCGCCCCGCCUGGGGAGUACGGGCCGCAAGGCUAAACUCAAAGGAAUUGACGGGGGCUCGCACAAGCGGCGGAGCAUGUUGCUUAAUUUCGACGCAACGCGAAGAACCUUACCAAGGGUUUGACAUCACCGUGGACCUGCAGAGAUGUGGGUCAUUUAGUGUGGUGACAGUGGUGCAUGGCUGCCGUCAGCUCGUGUCGCGAGAGGUUGGGUAGUCCGGAACGAGCGCUAU
rnacentral:rRNA from 1 species